rnacentral:rRNA from 1 species
CCUACGGGAGGCAGCAGUAAGGAAUAUUGGUCAAUGGGCGCAAGCCUGAACCAGCCAUGCCGCGUGCAGGAAGACGGCCCUAUGGGUUGUAAACUGCUUUUGAACAAGAGAAAACCUCGGUACGUGUACCGAGCUGAUAGUAUUGUUAGAAUAAGCAUCGGCUAACUUCGUGCCAGCAGCCGCGGUAAGACGAAGGAUGCAAGCGUUAUCCGGAUUCAUUGGGUUUAAAGGGUGCGUAGGCGGCCUGAUAAGUCAGUGGUGAAAUCUCUCAGCUUAACUGAGAAACUGCCAUUGAUACUGUCGGGCUUGAGUACAGAUGAUGUGGGCGGAAUAUGACAUGUAGUGGUGAAAUACUUAGAUAUGUCAUAGAACACCGAUUGCGAAGGCAGCUCACAAAACUGUAACUGACGCUGAGGCACGAAAGUGCGGGGAUCAAACAGGAUUAGAUACCCUGGUAGUCCGCACCGUAAACGAUGAUUACUCGUUGUUGGCAAUAUGACCGUCAGCGACCGACGACGAAGACGAGUAAGUAAGUACCACCCGUACGGGAGGUACGGCCCGGCCGAACCGGUACGUAAACGUUAAACGUUAAGUAAGUUAGUACGGACGUUAGGAGGACGUUGGCCGACGGACGACGACGAGGGGAGGUUAGG